CCUACGGGUGGCAGCAGUGAGGAAUAUUGGUCAAUGUGCGGAAGCCUGAACCAGCCAAGUAGCGUGCGGGAUGAAGGCCCUACGGGUUGUAAACUGCUUUUGCACGGGGAUAACACACUCCACUUGUGGCGGUUUGCAGGUACCGUGCGACUAAGGGCCGGCUAAUUCCGUUCCAGCCGCCGCGGUAAUACGGAAGGCCCGAGCGUUAUCCGGGUUCCUUGGGCUUAAAGGGAGCGUAGGCUGGCGUUAAAGUCAGCGGUAAACUCGCGCGGGUAAACCGCGCCCCGCAUGUGAAACUGGACGACUUGAGAUCACAACAGGCAGGCGGAAUGCGUGGUGUAGCGGUGAAAUGCAUAGAUAUCACGAGGAACCCCGAUUGCGAAGGCAGCCUGCCGAGGUACGACUGACGCUGAGGCUCGAAGGUGCGGGUAUCAAACAGGAUUAGAUACCCUUGUAGUC
rnacentral:rRNA from 1 species